rnacentral:rRNA from 2 species
UACGUAGGGGGCUAGCGUUAUCCGGAAUUACUGGGCGUAAAGGGUGCGUAGGUGGUUUCUUAAGUCAGAGGUGAAAGGCUACGGCUCAACCGUAGUAAGCCUUUGAAACUGGGAAACUUGAGUGCAGGAGAGGAGAGUGGAAUUCCUAGUGUAGCGGUGAAAUGCGUAGAUAUUAGGAGGAACACCAGUUGCGAAGGCGGUUCUCUGGACUGUAACUGACACUGAGGCACGAAAGCGUGGGGAGCAAACAGG